rnacentral:tRNA from 3 species
GGGGCGGAUGUAGCCAAGUGGAUCAAGGCAGUGGAUUGUGAAU